AAAAUACUGUAGGAGAUGGUUAAAAAGCAUAGUGAAAUGUUGGUAAAAGAAGAGCUAGUCGUGUGGUUCCUGAUUGUGCAAGUUUUGACCCACCCGCACCUUCAAAUCGUUAAACAAGCUUUUAAGGAAACGAAGAAGAAUCAUAAAAGAAACACAUAAAAGGGUCCAAGAAAACCUCCAUUCAACGUCACGCAAAAACGAAGAUGCUCUUAGGUAAAGUGUAGGUAUAUUUUCCAAAACAGACUAAACAUUUUUGGCGCCAUUUCUACAGGCGGCAUCAUGAUGGGAAACGACAUCUUACAAUUCUUUGGGUGGGGGACACGAGUGGGAACAAUGGCAAAAACGGUCAGUUAAGUAGGGAAAAAAUAUUUCAGAAACGUAGUAAUAGUUGGAUUGAAAAAUUUUUCUGUGUGGUGAAAAUGACGUGAUGUGUUCCCAGGAAAUCAUGAAUCGAAAAUCAGUUAUGGCGGGAAUGUUAUCAAGUACUCUUUUCGCUCAAAUUUUUGCUCCUUAUUGAAAUUGAAAUAUUGCUUCGUACUUAUUGGAUUAAUUAGUUAUUGAAAUUGAAAAUUUAUUCUUUCCGGUGAUGGUCAAGAAUUAAUCUAAUGGUUUGAAACUGACGUAUUGCCUGGUGAAUAAAAACAAAAAGAAUUUACAUAACUGACGAAAAAGUAAAGUUUCCAUAAGCUUACGUGACGUGAUGGGCAUCCGGACUAUAGCACAGAUUCUGAUCGGUCGAGUCAAUAUACAGCUCGGUGCAAUAUAACAUUUUUCUCUCUUUUUCGUAUACCGACCAGAAAUAAUGACCGCAGGCGUUUACAAUUUCUGUUGAUAAAACGUGCCCAAUAAUAAUUUAUUUAUUUACAAAUGAUAAAAUAGCGGAAACUUUUACUCACCGUGACAAAACUUACGACAGGGGCCUAUGCUUUUGCCAUCUGGACGACAUUCAGGUUGCGUUGCUAGGCAGAUAAAUUCUUCAAUCCUAGGGGAAUCUAUGACCGUCUGGAGCAAUGCCCGGCUAGCACUGAAAUCGUAUUCGGACGUGUAUCCCGCAGAAUUUGGAUAAAAGGUGUAAGCAUAAUUGAGGUGAUUGUUGCAGAUGGUCGUGUUACGUGGAAUGCAUUGAGGCUGUGAAAGUUCGGUCGACGAUGCCGCAGGUAUUUUGUCUGUAUACCAUUUUUAGGUUACCGUGAAUAACAAAUAAUCGUAACUGAAGCAUGCUUGCAUUACCUGUGAGGGCUCUGACGGAUUGAUGUCUGCGGGACGUGGUGUAACAGAAAUACCAUCAUCCCUAGACGUGACACUCUCCCCAUCUAACCCUUGUUUGCAAUAAAUAAGGUAAAAAGAAGGCAAAUUACAUUUCAUUUGUUUGUUGAACAAGCUUACUUGACAAUGACAUCUAUUUUUUUUCAGUGGCAUGCGCAAAAAAAAAAAUUAUAAAUAGGAAAACAAAUGUUUACCAAAUCCACCUAUUAACCCAAAUUUUAUUCCAUAGUAGAUAGUCGUAAGCCCUCCAGCAAUUAAAACCAACGUAAAGAACGCCAAGCAGACUGGUAGCUUCCAGCGACUAGACUUUUGGACACUAGGUGUCGGCAGGUCGUCCGUCAUGGCGUCAAAAAAGUUAAGUGCACCUAAAAUUUUAUUUGUGCUAAUUUAGAAAAAUUUUGACUUCUGCAGAUUAGCAGUUCCUUUUUCAGGAAGGAAAAAUAAUUUGCUGAUGAAACUUACAUAAAAACUAGUACAGCGAUCCGAAGAUAACGUAAGUGGUACGCGCAGCACACAGACUUAUGCUCCUCCAGGUAGCAAAACCUCGAUAGGCGUCAAGACAAAAAUUCCUACGUCUUUCGACGAGUAAAAGAUUUUUGUUACUGCGAUUGUCUGGUUCGCUGUUCAUCUUGCGAAUCUUUCAGUGAAGGGGAAUUCUUGCGCAAUUGAACACGUGAGGACAGAAACGACCAAUAGGAGCAUGUUGUGCUAGGUCCAUUCAUCACACCUUACCUGCUUUGAAUGGGCAACAUUCUUUGGGCACACCAUUUCUUGAAGAGACUCCAAGAAAAAAGGGGCAUCGUAGUUACGUUCACCUUGAAAUGCAGAAAAGAGUAAAACCCUCCUGUUACCUUCUAUCGUAUGGAUUUUCCCGAAGCUCAUUGAAUUAGCAUAUUAGUUUUCCAGUUGAAUCAGAUUUGAGUGCUUAACCCUAUCGUGGCCUUUCAUAAAUUAAGGAAAGUUGGCAUUCGGUGGGAAUAAAUGGCCAAUGGUGAAACCGCAGAAAAAUCGAAACACAGUCUGGCCUCGCAUGCACCAUCAGAUCCGGAAUAGCUUCAUUAUAGUUUCCCUUAAUUUGUCGCAUACUAGUUACUGAUGG